AGGGGACAUUGCAAGCUUUUCAAAAAUUGCAAGAGAGAUUCAAUCUCAAGAGAUUCUGGGAGUUAAAAGAAUGGACGAGAGUGAAGAAAGUUUGCUGGAUUGGGAUCUCAAUCAAAAACCAUCUACACUGCGUAGUGACACAUGCCAAGAAAUUUCUAGAAAGGGUCUCUUUCGCAGAAACCGUAAAUUACGUGUCAGACAUUAUGCAGUGUCAGGUGCAGAGAAUCCUAGAGUGCGAGUGGAGUACCCAAGAUGCUCUAGUGGACUUUUUCAAGGAGAAGGGAGCUCCAGUGUAUUUGGCCAUAAUCCAGGCAGAAAUUCUGUUUCAGACGUUCAAAAUUUUAGGCAUGUUAACGCCAAAGAAGCUAUACAGCUGGGUAAAGAGCUCAUUAGGUCA
rnacentral:misc_RNA from 1 species